rnacentral:rRNA from 1 species
UGAAAGGGAAACGAUUGAAGUCAGUCGUACCUUCGGGUAAUCAGCCUUUCGGGUGCGAUUCUGUGGAGCGUGAGGAGUUAAACGCCUUCAUGCCUGCAUAUUCGUGCACUUUGGGUGUACUUGCCCGUGUGGUAGGUUAACAUCAAUUUCGGAUGUCAUAAAAUGGCUGGAGGAAUGUAGCUUCGGUCUCGUACUGAAGUGUUAUAGCCUUUGGUAGAUGUGAUGACCGGGAUUGAGGAUUGCAACGAAUACCUUUUGGGCUAUCCGUCUGAUCUCUGAAAGUUGCUCUGGUGCCGAAAGCCUGCUUACGGUUAUCAAAGUUGACGUUCAAAAGGUUAGAACGGGUUAAAUUCGUUAAGGAUGUUGACGUA